rnacentral:rRNA from 1 species
UUCGUAGCUUGAUUCUUAAGUCUCUUGGGAAAUCUGCAGGCUUAACCUGCAGGCGUUCAAGAGAUACUGGGAAUCUAGGAACCGGGAGAGGUAAGAGGUACUCCAGGGGUAGAAGUGAAAUUCUGUAAUCCUUGGGGGACCACCGAUGGCGAAGGCAUCUUACCAGAACGGCUUCGACAGUGAGGAACGAAAGCUGGGGGAGCGAACAGGAUUAGAUACCCUGGUAGUCC